rnacentral:rRNA from 1 species
AACGAACGCUGGCGGCAGGCUUAACACAUGCAAGUCGAGCGCCCCGCAAGGGGAGCGGCAGACGGGUGAGUAACGCGUGGGAAUCUACCCAUCUCUACGGAAUAACGCAUGGAAACGUGUGCUAAUACCGUAUACGUCCUUCGGGAGAAAGAUUUAUCGGAGAUGGAUGAGCCCGCGUUGGAUUAGCUAGUUGGUGGGGUAAAGGCCUACCAAGGCGACGAUCCAUAGCUGGUCUGAGAGGAUGAUCAGCCACACUGGGACUGAGACACGGCCCAGACUCCUACGGGAGGCAGCAGUGGGGAAUAUUGGAUAAUGGGCGCAAGCCUGAUCCAGCCAUGCCGCGUGAGUGAUGAAGGCCCUAGGGUUGUAAAGCUCUUUCACCGGUGAAGAUAAUGACGGCAACCGGAGAAGAAGCCCCGGCUAACUUCGUGCCAGCCGCCGCGGUAAGAC